AGCGGGGUUGAGCAGUCAGGAGUGCUCGUCGGGCUCAUAACCCGAAGGUCGAUAGUUCAAAUCUAUCCCCCGCUA
rnacentral:tRNA from 1 species